UUGCUUCAGCAGCACAUAUGCUAAAAUUGGAACGAUGCAGAGAAGAUUAGCAUUGGCCCCUGCGCAAGGAUGACAUGCAAAUUAGUGAAGUGUACCAUAUUUAA
ensembl:snRNA U6 U6 spliceosomal RNA